rnacentral:rRNA from 1 species
AGGUAUCGUAAUUGAAGAGGUUUGGAAAGACCCACCACAGAAGGUAAUAGUCCUGUAUGUUAAACGAGAAGACUUUAGAUAUGAUCCAGAGUACCACGGGACACGUGAAACCCUGUGGGAAGCAGGAGGGACCACCCUCCAAGGCUAAAUACUACCUAGUGACCGAUAGCGUAUAGUACCGUGAGGGAAAGGUGAAAAGAACCCCGGGAGGGGAGUGAAAUAGAACCUGAAACCCUGCACUUACAAGCUGUGGAAGCACAUUUCUUGUGUGACCGCGUACUUUUUGUAGAACGGGCCAACGAGUUACGUUAAGUAGCAAGGUUAAGCACUUAAGGUGUGGAGCCGUAGCGAAAGCGAGUUUUAACUGAGCGUUCAGUUACUUGACGUAGACCCGAAACCGGGCGACCUACCCAUGAGCAGGAUGAAGCGAAAGUAAAAUUUCGUGGAGGUCCGAACCCACGAGCGUUGAAAAGCUCGGGGAUGACUUGUGGGUAGCGGUGAAAUUCCAAUCGAGCCCGGAGAUAGCUGGUUCUCCCCGAAAUAGCUUUAGGGCUAGCCUCAAGGUGAGAGAUACGGAGGUAGAGCACUGAAUGUCCUAGGGGGUAUUGCACCUACCGAAGACUAUCAAACUCCGAAUGCCGUCAUCUUAUACUUGGGAGUCAGACUGUGGGUGAUAAGAUUCAUAGUCGAAAGGGCAACAGCCCAGAUCGUCAGCUAAGGUCCCUAAAUGUAAGUUAAGUGGUAAAGGAUGUGGGAUUGCACAGACAACCAGGAUGUUGGCUUAGAAGCAGCCACUCAUUCAAAGAGUGCGUAAUAGCUCACUGGUCGAGUGAUCCUGCGCCGAAGAUUUCCGGGGCUAAAACUUACUACCGAAGCUACGGCAUCAGUAAUGAUGGGUAGGGGAGCUUCCCAUACGGGUUGAAGCAUGACCGUAAGGACAUGUGGACAGUAUGGGAGUGAGAAUGUUGGCAUGAGUAGCGAGAUGUGGGUGAGAAUCCCACAGGCCGUAAACCCAAGGUUUCCAGGGGAAGGUUCGUCCGCCCUGGGUUAGUCGGGACCUAAGCUGAGGCCGAAAGGCGUAGGUGAUGGACAACAGGUUGAUAUUCCUGUACUACCGAUAACCGUUUGAGAGAAGGGAUGACACAGUAGGAUAAGCUAAGCACACUGUUGGUUAUGUGUGCCCAAGCAUUGAGGCAGUCAAAGUAGGCAAAUCCGCUUUGAUAAUGCUGGGAUGUGAUGGGGAGCGAAAUUUAGUAGCGAAGUAGCUGAUUUCACACUGUCAAGAAAAGUCUCUAUCGAGGUUAAAGGUACCCGUACCGCAAACCGACACAGGUGGGUGAGGAGAGUAUCCUAAGGCCAGCGAGAGAACUGUUGUUAAGGAACUCGGCAAAAUGACCCCGUAACUUAGGGAUAAGGGGUGCCACCAUCAGGUGGCCGCAGAGAAUAGGCCCAAGCGACUGUUUACCAAAAACAUAGGUUUCUGCUAAGUCGCAAGACGAUGUAUAGGAGCUGACGCCUGCCCGGUGCUGGAAGGUUAAGGGGAUCUGUUAGAGCAAUCGAAGCAGUGAACUUAAGCCCCAGUAAACGGCGGCCGUAACUAUAACGGUCCUAAGGUAGCGAAAUUCCUUGUCGGGUAAGUUCCGACCCGCACGAAAGGCGUAACGAUUUGGGCACUGUCUCAACAACAGACUCGGUGAAAUUGUAAUUCCGGUGAAGAUGCCGGAUACCUGCGACAGGACGGAAAGACCCCAUGGAGCUUUACUGUAGCUUGACAUUGGGUCUUGGUACUACAUGUACAGGAUAGGUGGGAGGCUUUGAAACCAGGACGCCAGUUUUGGCGGAGCCAUCCUUGGGAUACCACCCUUGUAGUACUGGGACUCUAACCAUAGGCCAUGAAUCUGGUCUUGGGACACUGUCAGGUGGGCAGUUUGACUGGGGCGGUCGCCUCCCAAAAGGUAACGGAGGCGCUCAAAGGUUCUCUCAGUACGGUCGGAAAUCGUACGUAGAGUGUAAAGGCAAAAGAGAGCUUGAUUGCAAGACAUACAGGUCGAGCAAGGAUGAAAAUCGGACUUAGUGAUCCGGUGGUUCUGCGUGGAAGGGCCAUCGCUCAACGGAUAAAAGCUACCCUGGGGAUAACAGGCUUAUCUCCCCCAAGAGUCCACAUCGACGGGGAGGUUUGGCACCUCGAUGUCGGCUCAUCACAUCCUGGGGCUGUAGUAGGUCCCAAGGGUUGGGCUGUUCGCCCAUUAAAGUGGUACGCGAGCUGGGUUCAGAACGUCGUGAGACAGUUCGGUCCCUAUCCGUCGCAGGCGUAGGAAAUUUGAGAAGACCUGUCCUUAGUACGAGAGGACCGGGAUGGACGUACCUCUGGUGUACCAGUUGUCCUGCCAAGGGCAUGGCUGGGUAGCUAUGUACGGAAUGGAUAAGCGCUGAAAGCAUCUAAGCGCGAAGCCAACUUCAAGAUAAGAUUUCCCACCGCAAGGGUAAGACCCCAGAAAGACUAUCUGGUUGA